AUGGGGGAUGCAAGGUUCUUUUGGGUAGCUGAGGUAGGCAUGAAUGCUGUCCUGGAGGAAGAGAAUGCCAAGAACCCUUUUGCUUGAUCCUUAAGACUAUGAGCUGUUGCUUUAGAUGACCUUGGGAAUUUGUUCGUCAGAAUUGUCCCAGAUUAGGAUUGCUGUUGGCCAGCAUGACAACCUGGGACCUCUGCCUGAGAAGUGCAUUGAGAUCGUAGAAUGAAUGAACCUGUUGAAUGAACCUGUUUAAUGAACCUGUUUGGCAGUAGGGCAAGACAUAUAUAUAAAAGCUACAUCAGCUAUUAGGAAAGCUUGGUAAAUACUCUAGCACUUAUUGAUCAAACACUUUUAUACAAAUGAGCUGUCAUUUAAAAUGGCUGUAAUUUCUUUCUUGAAGAUAAAAUUAACCAUAUCCCGGAUGUCCCUAAUCCUUUUAGUUUUCCUCUCCUGGAUUGCCACUAGCAGAUAACCAACAGUUCUUUCUACUUCUCAAGUUUCCCAGACUAAAUAUCCUGAGGCAGCCACAUCUGCAGUCCUAUCUAAUCAUGGAAUUGAGGGUGGGAAUAACAGAACCAAAUUAACAAAGAGCCAUCAUUAGGAAAGCCACUGAUGGUCAACCAUGAUUGAAAUUGGACUGGUUUUCAGGCACAUGCUAGUAUUUCAGAAGCACUGUACCUGGGACUAGUUCUCCUGCUGAAGGCUCACUUUAAAUUUGCAAGCAUGGAGACACUUUGUAAUGCUAACUGGAAUAAGGUAGAUGAUGGCGAAGCCAAUUUAGUGAAGUUUACAGCAAGGAAAUGAUAAACAGAAAACAAAACAGCACCCAGAAAGUUGGAUUUCCAGGCAAAACCACUGUCUAGAAGCAGGGGAAACAAAGCAGCAGCUUUUCUGUCACUUUAUAAAGUGACAAUGGAGAGUAAAGAUCAGAAAGUAAAGAUAAAUCUGUUUUACUGUCUCUCUGGGGAAAGGAUGAAAAGCAAGCAAAAUGCUGUUGAAAUGAAUAAUGCCUUGAACAGUGGAGUAGCUGAUAAAUGUUCAAGUUGUAUGAACUUGAACAGAAUGCAAUUGUAAAGUGUUUGUUUUCUAACCUAAACUCAAAUUGAAGAUAGUAAGGAUGUUCAUAGUGAAGAGCAUUGAUGUGUGGGUUUGGAGACUUUAAAGAUGGUCUCAUUUGAGACCAAACCAUUUAAUAAAUGAGAUUCAUACUGAUUCUUGGUAAAGAGCUGCAGCUAGAGGCGGGUGCAGAACCCUCAGUGCAUCUCAACUAUGGAAGGGCAUUGGUCAUCAAAUUGCUGAAUUUGUUCUGUGUUCUCAGGCCACCAGUGGACUAGUUUCUAUUGGACUGUAUGGCGAGCAGCAACUGUGUCCUAACAAUGCUGACAGACUGCAAAAAUAUAAGCAAGUGCUAGUUAUGCCACUUGGUGUCCACUGCCAGUUAGGGACUUAGCAAAGAAAUCUGUGAAUCAAGAAAUACCGGUCCUUGGACUGUAUCUAGUUGACAGACUGAAGGGCCAGCAUUUGCUAUUCAAUCAAAAAAAUCCUUGUUUGCUAAUACAACAUUAUAAUGAUUAAAAUGUCAGAAUAUUUCCGAUAGUUGAACACUGAAAGGGGGCUCAUUUUGGGUGUCUAAUACAUAUGUGUUUAACAUGGCUGUCUGUGCCAGUGGUGCCUCUCUGCUGCUGAAGUAGAGAAGAUGAGCUCUAACCUCAGACACUUAGUUUGGGGACUUAAAAUUAGGCAGUGCAAAUGUGUAUUUGGGCCAUGGUGUUGAGUUGUAAUGUCUGUGCAGAACUAGGUAACCAUCUAUGUUGAUUUCACUUGAGUUUUUAAAUGAGAAAAUUGAUUCAAGCUGAAUAAGGACUAGCUGGAGCUGAGAAGAGCUGAGCUGCUCUCUCCCUGGAUGGCCUGUGAAGGCUUCCAGCCACAUUGGAAGAAGUUCUCUGCAGUGCACGGUCACCUUGAACAGUAACUUCAGUUUAGCCAUUCCCUCAUCCCCAUUUGUAUAUUGCAUCUGCAUGAAAGUUGUUUAGAGAAGAUGAAGUAACCUCAGUGAACGAAUGGGAAGGAACAAGGGAAGCGGAGGUGGAGAUCUGCAGGAGGUGGGAAGAAGUCCCCUUGUCCUGGAAGCGGAGUUGCACUGCCAGCAUCUCUGUUAAAAGCUCUAUUAAAUGACAGGCUGCAAGCCAUGGAAACACAGUAUUGCCUUGUGUUACUGCCCUGCAGAGAGUUGACAAAAUGCUAUUUCAGUCUUUA